rnacentral:tRNA from 1 species
GGUCUUGUAGUGAAAUUCAUGUUGAGUUGCAAGCUCAUCGAUGUACAUUAAAGAUGUACCGAGGCCU